AACGUUUCUCAUGAUGUACUCUGCAUAGAAGUUAAAUAAGCAGGGUGACAGUAUACAGCCUUGACGUACUCCUUUUCCUAUUUGGAAUCAGUCUGUUGUUCCAUGUCCAGUUCUAGCUGUUGCUUCCUGACCUGCAUACAGAUUUCUCAAGAGGCAGGUCAGGUGGCCUGGUAUUCCCAUCUCUUGAAGAAUUUUCCACAGUUUAUUGUGAUCCACACAGUCAAAGGCUUUGGCAUAGUCAAUAAAGCAGAAAUAGAUGUUUUUCUGGAAUUCUCUUGCUUUUUCCAUGAUCCAGCAGAUGUUGGCAAUUUGAUAUCUGGUUCCUCUGCCUUUUCUAAAACCAGCUUGAACAUCAGGGAGUUCAUGGUUCACGUAUUGCUGAAGCCUUGCUUGGAGAAUUUUGAGCAUUACUUUACUAGCAUGUGAGAUGAGUGCAAUUGUGCAGUAGUUUGAGUAUUCUCUGGCAUUGCCUUUCUUUGGGAUUGGAAUGAACACUGACCUUUUCCAGUCCUGUGGCCACUGCUGAGUUUUCCAAAUUUGCUGGCAUAUUGAGUGCAGCACUUUCACAGCAUCAUCUUUCAGGAUUUGAAAUAGCUCCACUGGAAUUCCAUCAUCUCCACUAGCUUUGUUCGUAGUGAUGCUUCCUAAGGCCCACUUGACUUCACAUUCCAAGAUGUCUGGCUCUAGGUGAGUGAUCACACCAUUGUGAUUAUCUGGGUCGUGAUCUUUUUUGUACAGUUCUUCUGUGUAUUCUUGCCACCUCUUCUUAAUAUCUUCUGCUUCUGUUAGGUCCAUACCAUUUCUGUCCUUUAUUGAGCCCAUCUUUGCAUGAAAUGUUCCCUUGGUAACUCUAAUUUUCUUGAGGAGAUCUCUAGUCUUUCCCAUUCUGUUGUUUUCCUCGAUUUCUUUGCAUUGAUCGCUGAAGAAGGCUUUCUCAUCUCUUCUUGCUUUUCUUUGGAACUCUGCACUCGGAUGCUUAUAUCUUUCCUUUUCUCCUUUGCUUUUCACUUCUCUUCUUUUCACAGCUAUUUGUAAGGCCUCCCCAGACAGCCAUUUUGCUUUUUUGCAUUUCUUUUCCAUGGGGAUGGUCUUGAUCCCUGUCUCCUGUACAAUGUCACGAACCUCAUUCCAUAGUACAUCAGGCACUCUAUCUAUCAGAUCUAGGCCCUUAAAUCUAUUUCUCACUUCCACUGUAUAAUCAUAAGGGAUUUGAUUUAGGUAAUACCUGAAUGGUCUAGCGGUUUUCCCUACUUUCUUCAAUUUAAGUCUGAAUUUGGCAGUAAGGAGUUCAUGAUCUGAGCCACAGUCAGCUCCCAGUCUUGUUUUUGCUGACUGUAUGGAGCUUCUCCAUCUUUGGCUGCAAAGAAUAUAAUCAAUCUGAUUUCAGUGUUGACCAUCUGGUGAUGUCCAUGUGUAGAGUCUUCUCUUGUGUUGUUGGAAGAGGGUGUUUGCUAUGACCAUUGCAUUCUCUUGGCAAAACUCUAUUAGCCUUUGCCCUGCUUCAUUCCGCAUUCCAAGGCCAAAUUUGCCUGUUACUCCAGGUGUUUCUUGACUUCCUACUUUUGCAUUUUUUCCCGUCCCCAAGACUGAGAGAUAGGGAAACUUAAAUAGGUGAGAUACCCUUCAUCCAAGGUCAGGAGCAGCGGGUGCACUUUGCUGGAGCAGCCGUGAAGAGAUACCCCAUGCCUGAGGUAAGAGAAACCCAAGGAAGAUGGUAGGUGUUGCAAGAGGGCAUCAGAGGGCAGACACACUGAAACCAUACUCACAGCAAACUAGUCAAUCUAAUCACACUAGGACCACAGCCUUGUCUAACUCAAUGAAACUAAGCCAUACCGGUGCGGCAACCCAAGACGGGCGGGUCAUGGUGGAGAGGUCUGACAGAAUAUGGUCCACUGGAGAAGGGAAUGGCAAACCACUUCAGUAUUCUUGCCUUGAGAACCCCAUGAACAGUAUGAAAAGAUAAAAUGAUAGGAUACCAAAAGAGGAACUCCCCAGGUCAGUAGGUGCCCGACACGCUACUGGAGACCAGUGGAGAGAUAACUCCAGAAAGAAUGAAGGGAUGGAGCCAAAGGAAAACAAUACCCAGCUGUGGAUGUGACUGGUGAUAGAAGCAAGGUCCGAUGCUGUAAAGAGCAAUAUUGCAUAGGAACCUGGAAUGUCAGGUCCAUGAAUCAAGGCAGAUUGGAAGUGGUCAAACAGGAGAUGGCAAGAGUGAACGUCGACAUUGUAGGAAUCAGCGAACUAAAAUGGACUGGAAUGGGUGAAUUUAACUCAGAUGACCAUUAUAUCUACUACUGCGGGCAGGAAUCUCUCAGAAGAAAUGGAGUAGCCCUCAUGGUCAACAAAAGAGUCCGAAAUGCAAUACUUGGAUGCAGUCUCAAAAUGACAGAAUGAUCUGUGUUCAUCUCCAAGGCAAACCAUUCAAUAUCACAGUAAUCUAAUUCUGUGCCCCAACCAGUGACGCUGAAGAAGCUGAAGUUGAACGGUUCUAUGAAGAACUACAGGAGCUUUUAGAACUAACACCCAAAGAGUCUUCUCAUAGAUUGCUGCUAUUUUGGAAAGCCAUUCGCAGUGUUGAGUAAGAGUCACGUGGAAGUGGGGAGUUGUAGGAGGAGAAGCACACAAGGCCUGCUCAAGAAUAUUGUUGGUGGCAGAGAAAGAGAACUAGGGCUUGGGCAGCAAGAACUCAUUUUUUUCCCGAAGCAAAAGCUAUGGAGUCAGCUUGUGGUGGUGGUGGUGGUGGUGGUGGUUUAGUCGCUAAGCCAGGUCCAACUAUUGUGACCCCAUGGACUAUAGCCCUCCAGGCUCCUCUGUCCAUGGGAUUUCCCAGGCAAGAAUACUGGAGUGGGUUGCCGUUUCCUUCUCUAGGGGAAUCUUCCUGACUCAGGGGUCAAACCCAGGGAUUGAACUGAGUCCCCUGGAUUGAGGUGGAUCCUGUAAUGCUGAGCCACCAGUGUGGUUGAAUACGUUGUUUUUGUUUAGUCACUAAAUCAUGCCGACUUCUCUGUGAUUAGCCUUGCCAGGCUCCUCUGUCCAUGAAACUUCCUGGGCAGGAAUAUUGGAGUGGUUGCUGUUUCCUUCUCCAAGGGAUCUUCCAGACAUAGGGAUCAAACCUGAGCCUCCUUCUUGGCAGACGGAUUCUUUAUCACUGAGCCACCUGGGAAGCCCUGUUGAAUACAUAGAAUUUGUUUUAUUUGAGCUACUGUGUAGCUGAAUAGCUAGGAUGCCAUAUUGGAGCCAGUCUGCCUGAGUUCAAAUUCCAGUUGUCCUUGAAGACGGCUGUGUGAUCUUCUGCAAACUGCUUAACGUCUUUGAGCUUCCCUUUCCUCCUUUGUGAAAAAGGGUUAAACUUCUCUUGCCAGUAGGGCUUUGUGAGAGUUAAAGGUUCAUAUAAAUAUUUGUUGGAUGAUACUGAGCAUUCAGUAAAUGGUAGUUACCCAUGGUUGAAUGGAACUUUAGUUUCACCUCUAGGGAGAAAUUAGUCUCAAUUCAAGUACCAACCUACCAGCUGUAGAAACUGUCGUAUUAAAUAGCCUGAUCUGAAGUCAUACAUCUGAAAGUUCUUAUGGACAUUUAUUUUCUCAAUUAACUUUAAUUUGACCAUUUUAUGUUAGAUAGUGCGGUUUGUAAGAAUUAAUGAUUUGGGUUAUGUUUGUUACGUGUCUAUCCAUUCAUCCAAAAAAUAUUAGCAGAUUCUCCUAUUCCCAGCUGUGGACUAUUCCUCAUGAGGAAAUAAAGAUUAGAACAGCCAGACUGGCCAUGGAGAAAUCAAGACGUAAGAAUGAAUAUGUAUGAGUACCAAUGAGAGGGUUUCAGACAAACUUUAGGAAACUUGGUUAAAUUUCAGAUAAACUGAGUAAUUUUUUGUAUGAGUAGGUUCCUGGUGUCACAGCUGACUGUGUGGGAUCUGCUGUGUCCUCCUGCCCUCUCUUCCCACUUUUCUUUCUAAAGCCACGUGGGCACCUGUAGGUCCAGGAACGUCAGAUGGACUUACCAGCUGGAGCCUCCUGGGAGAUGACGGAUAAGUCCAGUUCACCAUAAGGACGUUCUCCAAAUUAUGAUAAAAGGUGUUGGUGAGGAUGUGAAGAAAAUGGAAGAUUCCUAUAUUGCUGGUGGGGACAUAAAAUGAUGCAGCCACUUUGGAAUAUAAUUCAAUGGUUUCUGAAAGAUAAAAUUAUCAUAAGUUAAUUUCAGUUGCUCAGUCAUGUCUGGCUUUUUGCUGCCCCAUGGACUGCAGCAUUCCAGGCUUUCCUGUUCUUUACCAACUCCCAGAGCUUGCUCAAACUCAUGUCCAUUGAGUCAGUGAUGCCAUCCAACCGUCUCAUCCUCUGUCGUCCCCUUCUCUUCCUGCCUUCAGUCUUUCCCAGCAUCAGCGUCUUUUCCAAUACUUUGGCUGCCUGAUGCAUACUGACUCCUUGGGAGAGUUACCAUAGGACACAGCUGUUACUUUCCACUAUUUAUUUAAGAGAAGUGAAAGCGGGUCUUCAAAACAGCACUACUGUUUUAUUAUUUAUUUAUGCCUAAAGAUGUCCAUCAACUGAUGAAUAAAGUGUUGAAUAUCCCACAUAGUGAAGUACUAUUUGUCAUUAAAAAGGAGCAAAAUACUGAUAUGGUUGUAAUGUGGGUGAACCUGAAAAAUAUUAUGCUAAGUGAGAGAAGCCAUCUGUAAAAGGUAAAGGUAGUAUUAUACAUAUCAUCUUAUUCUUCUCAUAUGAAAUGUCAAACAAGGCCAAUGUACAAAGACAGAGGGCUUCCCUGAUGGCUCGGUGGUAAAGAAUCUGCCUGAAAUGCAGGAGACCCAGGUUCAUUCCCUGGGUUGGGAAAAUCCCCUGGAGAAGGAAAUGGCAACCGCUCCAGUGUCCUUGCCUGGGAAGUCCCACGGACAGAGGAGCCUGGCGGGCUAGUCCAUGGGGUCCCCAAAGAGUCAGACACGACUUAGUGACUACACAGCACCAAUAAAGACGGACAGCAGGUGGUCGGUUGCCAGGCCCUUUGCAUAACUGUUACUGUUAUAACCCUCACCAGCCUGCAGGAUUCGACUGCAUGCGUACUCCUCACUCCCGGCGUGUCUGACUCUCUGUGACCCCCCUGGACUGUAGCCCGCCAAGCUCCUCUGUCCAUGGGAUUCUCCAGGCAAGAAUAACAGAAUGGGUUGCCAUGCCCUCCUCCAGGGGAUCUUCCUGACUCAGGUUGAACCUACAUCUCUUAAAGUCUCCUGCAUUGCAGGGUGGAUUCUCUAUCACUAGCACCACCUGGAUUUGAUUAUUUGGUCUGUAACAUGCUGAGAAUUUCUGGGUUUCCAUGUUUUUGACAACUUUGGUGGGGCAACUGUUACCCUAUUUACUUUGCAUACCUAGAGUGUAAUGAGACUUGCAAAGUCAAAAGAAGAAAACACCACUUCAGUGUACAGUCUGUAAAUAAUCAGAUCUUACUAUGAUCUGAAUCAUUUUUGGUCUCUCCCUGACAGGCAGAUUCUUCGGGUGAUGUGGCGUUCCGUCCACAGCUCAACCUACUAGGAACGGGAACUGGCAGGUUUCACUGGGGCUGUCAGGCGACGCCUACAUGAGCAGCUCCUGGCGUUUGGCAAGGGGAGAUUCAGAUUUGUUUCCCAUUGGAAUACAUUUGUAAAAAAUCGAGCUUAUUAGAACAAAUUUGCUCAAACAAUGCAAGACACAUUAUCUAGGGAAAAGGAGUCACUUUCCCUCUUCGUUUUUCCUAUGUAAACCUGGCCUGUGCUUUCAAUAGCAACUUCAUGGUCAGAUUGCUGAGGAGUGACGUGGUGUGACCCCAGGAGUUAUGCUUGCUUUACUGGCAUGCUUUCGUCAUCGCAGUGUCUGGUGGGUGUUACUGUUGUCAGCGUGGGACCUCUUGAUGAAUGGUCUGAGUGUCUUGGCUUCAGGAGGUGGGGGACCCUGGGAGCACCAGAGAACCCCGUCCCCAGUCCUGGCUCCUCGCAGAAAUGGUACAACCUGAUCAUUGUACCCUGCCGAGUGCUCCUGGUUCUCUAUCCAACACAAGCACCCCCUGAAAGAGUCAGUGGGGGCUUCCAGGAACUGAGGGAAGGCUUUGAAAUAUAAGGCAAUUUUAUGGAGACGUUUGAGUUCCCCAAAGGUCACAGUUCAGCCUUGUCACUUCAUCUGCCCUCCUCACAGAUGAAGCUCCUGCAACCCAAGAAUAAUCUGUGAGUUAUGCCAAUUCACACAGCAAAUGCCAGCUAGAAACAGUGAGAUAACUUCAACUUCCUUGCUUAAUUCAGGCCUUUUAUCCCCCCUGAAAACACUGCCUCCUGUUCUUAAAAGUUAUUACAAGGAUUAUUUUGUUUAAUUUUGGAGAUUUUGAGUAUCCUUAUCUCUUAGAGAUAGCUUUUUGAUGACAUUAUUCUUUCAGCAUAAAUUUCCAACUGGUCUUGUUUUUAACCAAUAUCUAGUUUUGUGUCCCUCAGUCUCACUGACAGAAUGUGUGUUCUUUUCAGUAACCGGAAAUCAGGGGGUCAGAGUUUUGUCCAUGAAUGCUAAUGGAAGAAUUUAAUUAAGGACUGCUUUUCUAUAUAUAAGGUCUUUAACCUGUGCUGUGGAGAUCAGCCAUCUUCUGGAAGAUUGAGAGUCCAUUGUGUUUCCAGGCUCGCAGCAGUUUUCACUGUCAGUCUCCUAAGACGCAUGUCUAGAGUUCUCUCAGCUAAUGUUUCUCAAGCUGGACCCUGUGUUAGCUAAGAGCAUUUUCAUAUUUUGACUGAUAUACACCAUUCUUGUGGUUUGGAAAGGGUUUUUUUCUUAGUUGAAGCAGAGGUUGUCGAGGAUAUUGUGUACUUCCAAAUCAACAAGCCCUGAAUACAAAAUAGGCAGAUGCUAACGCAGAUAGUUAGAACACUGUUCAGAUAGAAAGUCUCCUUAGGUUUUGAUCAUACCUUACUUAUUACAAUGUUAGACUGUUUAUGCAGGAUUUCUCCUCACUGGAAGUUACAGGGGCUUCCCUGGGGGUCCAGUGGAUAGGAAUCUGCCUGCCAAUGCAGGGGACAAGUGUUCAGUUCCUGGUCUGGGAAGAUCCCACAGGCCACAGAGCAAGUCAGCCUGUGAGCCUGGGCUCUGCAUGAGAGGGGCCCCGCAGCGAGACGCCUGCGCUGCGGUGGAGAGCCGCUCCUGCUUACCUCAGCUAGAGAAUGCCCUCACCCAGCGACGGAGACCCAGUGUAGUUCAGUCGCCCAGUCGUAUCCGACUCUUUGUGACCCCAUGGACCACAGCACCCCAUGCCUCCCUGUCCAUCACCAACUCCCAGAGCUUGCUCAAACUCAUGUCCAUCAAGUCGGUGAUGCCAUCCAACCAUCUCAUCCUCUGUCGACCCCUUCUCCUCCCACCUUCAAUCUUCCCAGCAUCAGGGUCUUUUCCAAUGAGUCAUUUCUUCUCAUCAGGUGGCCAAAGUAUUGGAGUUUCAGCUUCUUGAUCUCCUUUCAGUCCAAGGGACUCUCAAGAGUCUUCUCCAAAGACCCAGUGCAACCAAAAUAAAUAAACAAACAAAAAGACUGCCUUCCAAUGCAGGGCAUGUGGGUUUGAUCCCUGCUCCAGGAACUAAGAUAUCCCACAUGGCUCAUGGCCAAAACACAAAAACAGUAUUGUAACAAAUUCAAUAAAGACUUUAAAAAUGGUCCAGAUUGCCCCCCCCCCAAAAAGCUUAAAAGUUAUAAAGAUGCUCAUUUAUUGAUAAGCAGAAUGAAGACUUGGUUUAUUCUCAUUAAGUGUUGGUCGC
ensembl:lncRNA